GAGGGCGGAGUCUUUACAGCCUGCGCUUCAGAUAGACUGUAAACACCAAAACUGGAGAAUCUCACACAGCCAAAAGUGAUUUCUGUAGCUGAACAGAUGGAGGUUGGCUUGGCUGCAGCUGAUGCCAUGCGCAGAACGGAGUAUGAAGCAGGAGCUGAUCCAGAUAUUCUUUAUCAAUUGAACCAAAGAUCCAUUCGCACCUGGCUUUCUCAGCCCAAUGGACACGAGGGACCUUCAGGAGAAUAAUAGAUUUUUGCUGCUGCUGCAAAACAAGUAAAGGAACUUGCUACUGCCAGUGCCAAUACAUAUGCUGAUACACUGCGGCAAACCCAGGGAAAGAUGGAUGCUGGUACGGUUAAAACGCCACAUAACUGGAAAUUAAAGGGGAAAAUCUAAUGUUUCAGUGGGAAGUCUUCAGUGACGAUGACCCCCCGUUGUGACUCCACGGUUUGGACAUGUUGUACAGACACAUCGAUUUGUUCUCGCCAUCUCUGCCGAACAGUGGGAGUGCAUUUACACUAGGCCGUGCGUGCAGCACACUGAGUGUGGAUCUGCAGGGGUCAGGUCUAGACAAGCAGCCAUGCAGACCUACCAUACAAUCACACCUUCCAUUAGAGAUGUGCAAGCUCGACACGCAUAACCUGUAACCUCCAUUUUAUGGGUAUUUGUUAUUGUUUUGUUUGAGAUGCUGUGCUUUAAAUUUGAGAUUGUAUUUGCUUAUCACUUGACACUUAUCUCAUGUUUUUUGUUAAGGAAGGUGUGUAAGUCAUUUGAUUGGCAUGUUUAUUCAGCAGUAUAGACAGAUGACUGCUUAUACUGUAAAAUGAUAGCAGUAUUGCACAUCCAGGAAAUAUAAACACAUUGCUUGCCAAUGUCAAAUAUACACUGGUAAUUUGCAUACAAAUAGGAG
ensembl:lncRNA